ACCAGUCCCGAGGCAGUCUGCUUCCACGUAUCAGCGCAAGGUGCCAUGUGACCAGGGCACAGUCCUCAGCAGCAUCCUUAUUUGCCCUGUGAGACUGGGGACAGUCCCUUCUACGUCCUGCAGUUCUGGGACUGUGGUUAUUGGUGCUACAACCCCUGGGUUAACUUACACUCACUGAAGGGAACUGGAUGGUAUUUUUGCAUCCUCUAUUUCAGGUUGGCAGCUGCCAGUCCACAAUAUCCACACAACUGGAGCUCUGCCUGUGAGACCUGAAUAACAUCUCCACUACAUCCUGCAGCUCUGGGAAUGGUUCUGUAAGUGCAGGCACACCUGCCCGCUCUCAGGCAGCCUAGAGACCCUAUCUGCAUGGUUCUGUAAGUGCAGGCACACCUGCCCGCUCUCAGGCAGCCUAGAGACCCUAUCUGCAUGGUUCUGUAAGUGCAGGCACACCUGCCCGCUCUCAGGCAGCCUAGAGACCCUAUCUGCAUGGUUCUGUAAGUGCAGGCACACCUGCCCGCUCUCAGGCAGCCUAGAGACCCUAUCUGCAUGGUUCUGUAAGUACAGGCACAGCUGCCCUCUCUCAGGCAGCCUAGAGACCCUAUCUGCAUGGUUCUGUAAGUGCAGCACACCUGCCCUCUCUCAGCAGCCUAGAGACCCUAUCUGCAUGGUUCUGUAAGUGCAGCACACCUGCCCUCUCUCAGUCAGCCUAGAGACCCUAUCUGCAUGGUUCUGUAAGUGCAGGCACACCUGCCCUCUCUCGGGCAGCCUAGAGACCCUAUCUGCAUGGUUCUGUAAGUGCAGGCACACCUGCCCUCUCUCAGGCAGCCUAGAGACCCUAUCUGCAUGGUUCUCCAGAAUGUCACUUGAAGUGCACAACACCCACUCUACUGUGCAGUCACCACCUGGGCCAUGACUGAGGUGACCUCCGAACUCCUCAUCAUAUUCCACCCAGUCACCUGAGAUCUCCUCAAGGACGGGAGUAGCCCCAGUGCGUUCUGUCGUGUGGGUUCUAUUACCGUUUGCAAGUUCCAGUAAUGCCUGCCCUUGCCUACGUGCACUGGGGAAUGUUCCGUUUGUAUACCACUGAGUCAGGCUUGACCAGGUUAAAGGACAAUUCCCAGAAUAACC
rnacentral:lncRNA from 1 species